CAGCCGCCGCGGUAAUACGAAGGGGGCUAGCGUUGCUCGGAAUCACUGGGCGUAAAGGGUGCGUAGGCGGGUCCUUAAGUCAGGGGUGAAAUCCUGGAGCUCAACUCCAGAACUGCCUUUGAUACUGAGGAUCUUGAGUUCGGGAGAGGUGAGUGGAACUGCGAGUGUAGAGGUGAAAUUCGUAGAUAUUCGCAAGAACACCAGUGGCGAAGGCGGCUCACUGGCCCGAUACUGACGCUGAGGCACGAAAGCGUGGGGAGCAAACAGGAUUAGAGACCCGCGUAGUCCCUGUCUCUUAUAA
rnacentral:rRNA from 1 species